rnacentral:rRNA from 1 species
GCUAAAGGGGGUACGAUGUGGGAAGGCUCAGACAGCCAGGAUGUUGACUUAGACGCAGCCAUCAUUUAAAGAUGGAGUAAUUGCUCACUGGUCGAGAAGACCUGCGCUGAAGAUGAAACGCGGCUGAGUAGUACCCCGAAGCUGCGGCAUUACUCUUUGAGGAUUGGGUAGGGGAGCGUUCUGUAAGCGGUUGAAGGUGGGUGGUAACGCAUGCUGGACGUAUCAGAGGUUCGAAUACUGACAUGAGUAACGAUAAAGGAGAUAAAAAACCUCCUCUCCGGAAAACCAAGGAUGCCUGUCCAACGUUAAUCGGGGCAGCGUAAGUCGACACCUAAGUCGAGGCCUAAAGGCAUAGUCGAUGGGAAACGGGUUAAUAUUCCCGUACUUCUUACAAU